GACGAACGCUGGCGGCGUGCUGAACACAUGCAAGUCGAACGGAAAGGCCCCUUCGGGGGUACUCGAGUGGCGAACGGGUGAGUAACACGUGAGUAACCUGCCCUUGACUUCGGGAUAACUUCAGGAAACUGGGGCUAAUACCGGAUAGGAAUCCUUGCUGCAUGGUGGGGGUUGGAAAGCUUCGGCGGUUUUGGAUGGACUCGCGGCUUAUCAGCUUGUUGGUGGGGUAGUGGCUUACCAAGGCUUUGACGGGUAGCCGGCCUGAGAGGGCGACCGGCCACAUUGGGACUGAGAUACGGCCCAGACUCCUACGGGAGGCAGCAGUGGGGAAUAUUGCACAAUGGGCGGAAGCCUGAUGCAGCAACGCCGCGUGCGGGAUGACGGCCUUCGGGUUGUAAACCGCUUUCAGCAGGGGCGAAGCUUGUGGUGACGGUACCUGCAGAAGAAGCACCGGCUAACUACGUG
rnacentral:rRNA from 1 species